UUUACAAUUAUCGAACUCAUCAUUAUCAGCACUCAUAUUGGACUUCUCUCUCUCUCUCUCUAAGGGUGACCUGAGAUCACAUACAAAAAUGGUGAAGGCCGUCGCCGUCCUUAACAGCAGUGAAGGUGUUAGUGGCACCAUCCUCUUCACUCAAGAUGGAGAUGCUCCAACCACAGUUAAUGGAAAUAUUUCUGGCCUAAAACCUGGACUUCAUGGCUUCCAUGUCCAUGCCCUUGGUGAUACCACAAAUGGCUGUAUGUCAACAGGACCACAUUACAAUCCUGCUGGUAAGGAGCAUGGUGCUCCUGAAGAUGAGGUGCGUCAUGCUGGUGAUCUUGGUAACAUCACAGUUGGAGAAGAUGGUACUGCAUCUUUUACUAUUACCGACAAGCAGAUUCCUCUCACUGGUCCACAGUCCAUCAUUGGAAGAGCUGUUGUUGUUCAUGCUGAUCCUGAUGAUCUUGGAAAGGGAGGACAUGAGCUCAGUAAAAGCACCGGAAAUGCUGGCGGAAGGAUUGCUUGUGGUAUUAUUGGCCUCCAGGGUUAACUGCUCCGGUGAGGUGAAGAUUCAGCAACUAGCGGUGGUGUCUGUCUUAGAAUAAAGUUAUAUUGGAGCUGCUGAGCCUUGUUUUCUAUGUAUUUAUCAUUUGACGCCUUUUGAAUUGGGGUUGAACCAUUCAUAAUACAUGACUGUAGUGCUGCUUUUCAGUGGAUGUUGUACUAGUUUUUGCCGAUCAUUAACCAUAAAAAAACAUGGGCUGUGUUAGCUUUGCUGGUUUCUUAAAUUUGAGUGGAUGGUUUGAAAACUAGACAAAAUUUAGAUGAAUUUGCAGAUUACAGUGCCUGCAGUUUUUGUUCAUAAAAUUGUAUUUCAACUGACUUCUCAGAUGGCAGAGUAUUUGCAA
rnacentral:misc_RNA from 1 species